UCCCUGGUAGUCCAGUGGUUAAGACUCUGCACUCCCAAUGCAGGGGACAAAGGUUUGAUCCCUGGCCAGGGAA